AGUCCUGGGGUGUUAACACGUCAGAUUGCAAAUCUGAAGAAGCAGACUAGCGUCUGCCGGGGCUU
rnacentral:tRNA from 1 species